GACUCCGUGGCGCAAUGGUAGCGCAUCUGACCAAAGAUCAGAAGGUUGCGUGUUCAAUUCACGCCGGAGUAA
rfam:Stomoxys calcitrans breed 8C7A2A5H3J4 unplaced genomic scaffold Scaffold133, whole genome shotgun sequence.